GGGAAAGGUGGAGGGUGGGACACUUCACCUCCGGGUAUCUCAGGUGUCCAAUUUAGAAAAAGAAGAAGAGGAGAAACGGGCAAAAGCUAAAGGGGCACUUCUAAAAUAUUUUGGAUCAUCCCAUGCCACUGGUCAGGAUGAGCUGCCAUCUACUCCCUCAGCUUCUGGAAUGUUCUCAGUGCCUCAGGAUGAGGAGCUGCUAUCUACCUCCUCAGAUACACAGGCUUCUGGAAUGGUCUGAACACUUCAGGGACAGCCACCAUCUAUGUCCUCAGAGACACUAAUGUCUGAUACUGAGGAUGAAGACUGGUUUGCUUCUACUUCUCCCUAGCAGGAGGAUCCUUCAGAAAUGCCUGCCGCUGAACCCCCACUGAAUCCCACUGCUGAGGAGGAGCCUCUGUCAGCUGACCCUGCCCAUUGGCCCUGUGAUGACUG